rnacentral:lncRNA from 1 species
UGUGAACUUUGAGCUGUUUUCUAUUUAUGUUUUUCCAUUUCUGAAAAUACCAUAGAAAAUAUAGCAAGAGCUGUAUAAAACUAUAUUUUAUUUUGAAUCAAAUUUAAAAAAAAAUCAAAAAAAAAAACAAAAACCGGCGAUGGAAGCUCAUAUGUAUUUUUUUGUGGAAGCUCAUAUGAAUUCUUUUUUUUUUUUGCCUUCCAAGUGCGGGACACAUGUUUUUUCUUAAACUCAAUCUUAUCUUUUGCUGUACUCCCUCUGUUCCUAAAUGAUCAAUGUUUUAGGAAAAAAAUUGUUUCAAAAAGAUACAAUUUUUACAUUUUCAAUACAUUAAUUAAUGAAAAAUUGUACUUUUCAAAAAAUACAAUUGUGUUUAAUAAAAUUUCAUUGGUUAAAAGUUAUUGGGAAUAGUUAAUUAAGAAAAACAAUGUAUUGGAAACAAUGUUAAUAUUGGAAAUUACAAUUUUAUAUGUUUU